AAAAGGUACCAUUCUCUUUUUCUCAUCAAGAAUUAUGAUUUUAGUUUUGAAUCACUUGAUUUCAUUGAGUAUUGAAGAAGUUAUGAACGUUUAAAGUUUACCCAGUUUCCGGCUAGUUUUCAAGUUAUCACUCGAACCAUUCAACUUUGAGGCUAUUUUCCGGAAAUCUCUGGCAACCAUUGGGCUUUGAAAUAGGUAUAAUCUUAUUCUACACUUUCCUAUCUUCAUUUUGAUAUAUUAUGGGUCGAAUUUGGUUAAGAAACGAUUGAGUUACGAAGCUUUGAAAAUUGCCCAAAGUUUCAGCCAAGAGCUCCAGGACACUUAACAGAGUUUUUAAUGGAAGGACCAAAAUGAUGGAUGGUGGACAAUCUCAGGGACUACUUUUAUCAAUUUGGAAUCUCAGGGACCAAAGUGAUGAUUUAUGCAAAUCUCAAGAAGCAUUUUGGUGAUUUACCCUUUUCGAGUGUGUGUUAGUGUUAUCUUCCAGAAAUUAAUACGGUCUAGUUGGCGCCCAUUUAUUUGUUCCUACACAUAAAAGCAAGUCCUUCAUAUGACAUAUAUCUCAUACUCCAGUCCAAAUCCACAAACCCUUCUUCCCCUUCACGUCAAAUACCAGAAGACCCCUCUCCUUUGUCAAAUUUACAGACCUAUAUAGCAAAAGACUGUUUUUCAUCAAUCCUUCUGACCAAGAACGUGGUUGAGCCGGAUACCAAUUGUGAAGUGGAAUUUGUGCCUCCUCGUCCGGAGUUGGUGGCAUGGGAUUGAAGAUCUUGUAGGUUCUGACAAGACAGACAAAACGAAUGAGACGACACGAGGUCAUAGCAGUCAUCUGCUUUUCAAGGGGGACUCUCUAAGACCUUCUAGCGAGGGACUUAAUCGAGGCGGGUUCCUCGUAAUCCCAUUAAAGCUAGUCCAUGUGGUAACAACCACAGGGCUACACUAACUUUUAGGGGGCGUUUGUUUGCCCUCACUAAGUGGGACUGGACUAGACUGGACUAGGUGUUAGUGUAGUCCCAAGUUUGUUAGAGGAAGGGACUAGGUGUUAGUGUAGCACCCUUAGUAGCUUAAUAAAACUCUUAUAUAUUCACUUGUGCACUCCUCUUUAUCUAGUGAAUAGAUCCCCAAAUUUGUUUUGGCUAGCAAUUUUAACUUAACAUCUCCAACGCCAUUUGGUACUAAGAUCUAGUGGUACUUCUCUACUUGUAAGUGAAGGGUCCUAGGUUUAUUCUUGCCAAAGGUGAAUCUGAACCACAUUAUUUCUAGUCCAUUGUGAGGUUUAGCCCAUCCCCAAUCUCUUAGUGUAGAUAAUAUCGUUUGUUCAAUAACAAAAAAGAAAACUUAACAUCUCCAACAACAUUCUUUAUUCUAAACUAUUCUGACUAGCUUAAUAUACUCUCUUUUUUAACGAAUAAACUCUUUGUUAAAAAAUUGAGGAUAUGUGUGCAGUGAAACAUAAAGUAAAUAAGACACAGUAUUUACGAGGUUCAGCAAGUGUGCCUACGUCCUCAGGGCAACAGCUGACACACCUCGAUCCCGAUAUCCUCCAAACACUAGGAUGGGCAUGUGCUGGGCGACACCUAAGAGUGACAAAAGCCAUUUUAACAUGCAUGUGAGUUAUGAAGAAAAGAACGAACGUAAAUAAAAUAUGUAAAUUUAAAUAUAAUGAAAUAUGCAAAUGCAGGAACGUGUUUAGAUCAUACAACUAAUCAAGAAUACUGCGAAAGGAAUAUUAUAAAAUGUAAGAUUACAGAGAAAUGGGUCCUAUAGCGAGAUGAGGACUCAAAGCUAUUGAUAUGAGAAUGUCUCGACGCCGGGAUCGUACACCUCAUUUUUAAAUCUUUAAGGGGGUGCAAAACAAAGGGUGAGUGGACCAAAGUUUAUAAUAAUAAUAAACAAGAACCAUUUUAUUUUUUUAAUGUACUAACCCCCUAUUUUGAAAACUCAUAUAGCAUACAUAAAUAGUAGGUUUUCCCAAAAACCUAACAUGCCAUAAAACCUUCGUAAAAACAUGUAUAUAUAUAUAUAUAUAUAUAUAUAUAUAAUAGUAGUGCUCAGUAGCGGUAUCAUAAUCGCCUUAAGGCAUAUCCAUCACCUAAGGGUGAAGUUAAACGACAUUGGGUUACGCCAGUGAAGAAACAUGGUAGGCCCCAUCACUUGAAGAUGAAGUUGUACGACUCUAGGUUACGUUAGAGAAGAAAAGGUACAUAACACACCGACACUAGCCGUGGCUAAUGAAGCUGUUUGACACUGGUUUCGCCAUUGAAGUUGAGAGUAUGUCAUAAAUAUCUCACUACUCAUCAAUUGUGUCAUAUGGCCAUAGACAGAUACCCACUAAAUAAGCACAGAAAAUAUAAAUCACAUAUCUCGUAUCAAAUCAUCAGAGCUCAAAAGCUCAAAGCAUCAUAUCAUAAAUCUAUAAGAGCAUUCUAGCUCAAAUCAUCAUCAUAAAACAUAUUCACAAAUCCAUAAUGUCUCGAAAGGCGUAAAAGCAAUAGUUUGUAAAUCUUUCGUAAGAUGUAAAUUCAAUAAAUCAUAAAAAUUUAAUAAGACAUAAAUUUGAUAAAUCAUAAAUAUAUCUAAUGAAACGUAAAAUCAGGAAAUCAUGCUUUUCAUGAAUGCAAUCCUAGAAUUUAAAAUCAUGCAUUUAGGAAGGGGUCCACUCAUAGCCAUGCAGUCGAGUCAUAAUCAGCCAUGCGAGCUCUAGAAAUCUUUUAUAUGCAUUUCACCUAGAAACGAAACCAUUUACGUAAAUAUGUAAUGUACUAUCCUAAAUUCACGUAUUCGUACAAAAUAUGGUUAAUAAAAGAGCUAUAUUAAAGCGAUCGAAUUUUAGAAAAUGGAAGGCGAAUUCGGGUUCAGCAUGUUGAGGUACCUAACAAGGAACCUCAGGUUCCUCUAUCUACCGCCACAAUGACACGCCCCAACCCCAAUAUCCCCAAAUAUCAUGGUAGGCACGUGUUGGCUGACACCCAAGGGUGACGAAGCCAUUUUAAAACAUGCAUACCGAUAAAAAUAUGUAAUUAGAAAGAGAUACACUAGUGCAUAAUCAUGUUCAGAGCAUACAACUAAUCAAGAAUUAAGUGAAAGAAUUAUGAUAGAAGGUACAAACCGAGGAAUGAGUCCUACAAAGAGGACACUCGAAGAUACCUAAUCGAAAGUGUCCUGACGCCGAGAUCGCGUGGCUCGAUUCUAACACCUAAAGAGGCGCAAAACCGAAAAGGUGAGUGGACCAAAGUUUAUAAUAAUACUAAUAAUACGAAAACCAUUUUAUUUAUGAACAUACUAACCCCCUAUUUUGAAAACAUAUAUAUAGUACUACAUAAUAGGUUUUCUGAAAACUCUAGCAUGCCAUGAAAACGUUCGUAAAACAUGUAUGCGUAAAACAAUGCUCAGAGAUGGUAGUAAAACAGCCCAUAGGCAAAUCCAUAAAUAUCAUCCAUAUUGUACUCUUUAGGGGUAUCAUAGUCACCCGAAGGCAGUACCUGUUCAUCACCUGAAGGUCAAGCUGAAUAACCUGUCCAUCACCCGAAGGUGAACCUAUAUAACCUAUCCAUCACCCGAAGGUGAAGCUAAAUAAAAUAGCAUACAUACAUACCGACACUAGCCGUGGCUAGUGUGUUGGAAGUAUGCCCACAAAGCCACUCAUUUGAUGUAAUAGCCUUUGGAAUACUUAUUGUAUUAAACUAUUAUAUGUUUAAUG
rnacentral:lncRNA from 1 species